GCGACGUGCAGCAAAUUUGAAAAAGUUUUGGCCCGGAGGUUCACCUUACAACUACGUGAUGACACUUUGUCCCCAAGUUCGGCUAAG